rnacentral:rRNA from 1 species
AUGUCCAACGGAAGCACUCCCGACCCGCUCCACCCCUCCACCGGAGGCGUCAAAUACGUCCCCAGCAUCUUCCCCAGCGGAGAGUCCGACGACGAUGAGUUCCCCACGUACGGAGAGUUCUCGCUGAGACCGCGCCGCAAUCAACGCUACGGCGGCGUCGACGAAGAGAGCCGUCCUUCCUCCCCCGCCUUACUCCGGCAUAGCAGGCCCAGUUGCUCCGUCCUCCGGGGGUCUCGGCUGCGCACAGAAUCUAUCCGUCAUCGCUCCUCCGACUCCCUCGAGGCUCCCUUGGUUAACCUGAAGCAGCAGAGGCGUCGCCAUUUGGCCUCCGGUGCUUCUGCCCCCGCCUCCGGUGGAGUUGCUCCGGCGCACUUCGUGACCCCGACCGCAGCGACGGCGAGCCCGCUCGCCUUCUCGACCUCUCCGUCGCCGAUCGAUUUGGCAGCCGCAGCCGAUGCUCCCGGCGGUCGUACCAGCGGAUCCGUGUACAGGCCGCCCGUUGUGAAGACCCGCACCACAUUGAACAGUUCUGCCGGAGGCCGGCGCGGUUCUCUCGUGGGCGCCGCGCCCAAGGCAGCUCCGACUCCGAAGGAGACGGCUUUGAGCACGUACGGCCGGGAUAUGACGGUGGUGGCUGGCAUGACUGAUCCGGUGAUCGGCCGCGACGACGAGAUCGAUCGUGUCGUCUGCAUCCUGUGCCGACGGACCAAGAACAGCGCCCUGCUGGUCGGCGCACCGGGAGUCGGCAAGACGGCCAUUGCCGAGGGGCUCGCUCGGCGCAUCGCAGGUGGGAUGGUGCCCGCUGCUCUUGCCGGGGCGCGCGUGGUGGAGGUCGACCUGGGGGCGAUGGUGGCAGGGACCCAGUACCGCGGCAUGUUCGAGCAACGCCUCAAGGAUGUGAUCAAGGAAGCGGAGGAUGCGGACGGCCAGGUAGUUCUGUUCAUCGACGAGGUGCACAUGCUUGUCGGCCCCGGGAAGACCAAGGGCGGCAGCAUGGACGGCGCCAACCUGCUGAAGCCGGCAUUGGCCCGCGGUCGUAUCCGAUGCGUGGGCGCUCCGACUUUCGACGAGUACCGCAAGUACAUUGAAAAAGACGCCGCACUGGAGCGACGGUUCCAGAAGGUGCAUGUGGAGGAGCCAAGCACGCAGGCAACCAUUUGUAUUCUGCGGGGGCUAAAGCAGAGGUAUGAAGACCACCAUGGCCUGAAGAUUCAGGAUGCUGCUCUUGUUGCUGCUGCACAGCUUGCUGGCCGCUAUAUAACUGGUCGUCAGUUUCCUGAUAAGGCAAUUGAUCUGAUUGACGAGGCAUGUUCCACCACAUGGAUGCAGAUUGAUAGCCAAAGACAAUGGAGCCCAACACAAAGUACCUCCGCAAGAGUAGUGCGGGAUGGAGUUCUUUGCCCAGAUCAUGUUGCGCAAAUUGUGAGUCGAUGGACAGGAAUUCCCGUCGCCACGCUUGAUGAAGAGGAGAAGGAGAAGUUGAUCCACCUUGCUAACAGAUUGCAUGAGCGAGUCGUUGACCAGGAUGAAGCGGUCAAUUUGGUUGCACAAGCAGUGUUACGUGCCAGAGCUGGUCUUAAUCAAUCCGGCCAACCGAUAGGAUCUUUCCUCUUUCUAGGACCGACUGGUGUGGGAAAGACUGAGCUCACAAAAGCUCUUGCUGAGCAACUAUUCAAUACUGAGAAGAUGUUGGUUCGCUUUGACAUGUCUGAGUAUGUUAAUAGUGGAUCUGUGUUGCGCCUCAUUGGAGCACCUCCGAGUUAUCAUGGUCAUGAAGAUGGUGGGCAACUGACUGAGAAAAUCAGGAGGCGCCCAUACAGUGUCAUACUCUUUGAGGUGGAGAAGGCAGAUCCGUCGGUGUUUAAUGUUUUUCUUCAGCUCCUUGAUGAUGGUAUGUUGACUGAUGGCAAGGGACAGACCAUGGAUUUCAAGAAUACCAUCAUCAUUAUGACAUCAAAUAUGGGAGCAGAGCACCUAACAGCAUGAAUGAAUGGAGAAACAACAAUGGAAGCAGCACGCGGUCUUGUUAUGGAGCAGGUUCAGAAAUGCUUCAAGCCUGAGCUUCUCAACAGAUUGAGUGAGGUGGUGAUAUUUGAACCUCUUUCGCAUGACAAACUGAAGGAGGUAGUCAAAAUCCAGAUGAAGAUUAUUAUUUCCAAUGUAGCUAACAAGGGCAUCUCUCUAGUUGCCAGUGACGAUGCGCUAGAUGUCAUUCUGUUAGAAUCAUACAACCCAAUGUAUGGUGCAAGGCCCAUAAGGAGGUGGGUGCAUAAGAAUGUCAUGACAAAGCUCUCGGAGUUGCUGGUCAAAGGGGAAGUCGACGAGGGCACUAUGGUUUCCGUUGAUGCUAGGACCGACAAGAAGGGGCUGGAAUAUCAAGUGGUGAAGAAGGUGAUAGAGGCACGGGGCAAGAAGCCAGUGAUGGAGGUUCCUAGCGACUCCUAUGAUAGUGACGAUGUGGUCGAGGUCUUUCCCGUAGCGAAGAAGGCAAAGGUAGUGGGCUUUUAG